rnacentral:lncRNA from 1 species
AUGCCAGAUGGACAAUUCAAAGAUAUCGGCCUAAGUGAAUACAGAGGAAAAUAUGUUGUGUUCUUCUUUUACCCUCUUGACUUUACUUUUGUGUGUCCCACAGAAAUCAUUGCUUUCAGUGAUAGAGCAGAUUUUAAGAAACUCAACUGCCAAGUGAUUGGAACUUCUGUGGAUUCUUACUUCUGUCAUCUGUCAUGGAACAACACACCCAAGAAACAAGGAGGAUGGGACCCAUGAACAUUCCCUUAAUAUCAAUUUCCAAGUGGACCAUUGCUCAGGAUUAUGGAGUCUUAAAGGCUGAUGAAGGUAUCUCUCUCAGGGGCCUCUUUAUUAUUGAUGAUAAAGGUAUUCUUUGACAACAAUAAAAGAUCUUCCCAUUGGCCACUCUAUGGAUGCGAUUAUCUGACAAGUCCAGGCCUUCCAGUUCACUGACAAACAUGAUAAAAUAUGCCCAGCUGGCUGAAAACCUGGCAGUGGACCACCAAGUCUGAUGUUAAUAAGAUCAAAGAGUAUUUCUCCAAGCAGAAGUAA